CAACGGAAUCCCAAAAGCAGCUGUCCCCGCAGCGCCCAGCUGCCCUGGGAUUUCGUUACC
ensembl:miRNA gga-mir-191 gga-mir-191